rnacentral:misc_RNA from 1 species
CCCAACUAUCCCUAUUAAUCAUUACGGUGAUUCAGAAACCAACAAAACAGGACCACUGUCCUAUUUUGUUAUUCCAUGCUAAUGUAUUCAGACGUAAACCUGCUUUGAACACUCUAAUUUUUUCAAGGUAAAGGUCCUGGUUUCCCACCACGCUAAAUUAAUAACAUGAUGGUUCUCCAGAAGGUAGGAAUUCUACACGCUAGUACAGACUGGGUAGCCCGACCAACGGUAGAACCCCGAAAUUCAACUACGAGCUUUUUAACUGCAACAACUUUAAUAUACGCUAUUGGAGCUGGAAUUACCGCGGCUGCUGGCACCAGACUUGCCCUCCAA